rnacentral:rRNA from 1 species
AAAAGAACUUUGAAGAGAGAGUUCAAUAGUACGUGAAACCGUUUAGAGGUAAACGGAUGGGACCGCCAAGUCGAUCUGCGGGAUUCAACCUGCCGGCCAUGGGCUGCUGGCGCGGGGUGUUCGGAUCUUUGAACGGCCCUUGCGUCGGGUAGCCGCCGGAGGGUGCACUUUCCGCAGACUGAGCGCUACGACCGGUUUGCGCGGCGGCGUGAAGCCCCGGGAGAAGGUGGCCUCUGCUUGCAGUUGCUUUAUAGCUCUCGGCGGUCAUCGCCCGCUGCCGGACCGAGGAUGUACUCUGCGCCCGCCUCUAGGCUCGGGCCCUUGGCCCUCGCUGGAUGUUCCGACUGGGGUGGACUGAUUUCAGUGCUCUCCGACUGCAUCUGGUGUACGGGAUCGGGGUCGUCCCGAGCAUGGCGCAUGGGGUCAGUGGCGAUUAGGUCGGCACCCUAUCCGACCCGUCUUGAAACACGGACCGAGGAGUCUAACAUGUGCGCGAGUCAUGGGGGCCCACGAACCCUAAAGGCACAAUGAAAGUGAAGGUUGGCCUCGCUUGUCAACCUAGGUGUGAUCCCGCCCCGCUGUGGGUGGGCGCAACACCGGCCCGUCUCGUCCGUAUCCGGCAACGGUCGGGGAGGCGGAGCAAGAGCGUACAC